rnacentral:lncRNA from 1 species
CUUAACAAUAGGUAUGGGACAGUCAAUGGUACAAAGAUUUUUGAAGUAAAACAAGAGUUAGCAUCUACUACUCAGGGAUCCUUAGACAUAGCAUCUUAUUUCAACAAGUUGAAGAGGUUAUGGGAUGAACUGGGUUUUAUGCAAGCCUCAAGAGGUAGUACAUGUACAUGUGCUGCCAAGAUUGAGUUUCAAAAUGAGGAUGAUGAGAAUAAAUUGCACCAAUUCCUCAUGGGGCUUAAUGACACAUGUUAG